CACUAGCACAUUUAUUACUGCAUAAGCUUUUAACAUCAAACAGCUGAGCUAGAAGUCAUUCAGACAGUUAACAUUUCUAACAGUUGCAUAAUGAUAAUCAUACUGAUGUUGACCAUCUGAUCAAAUCAAGGUUGUUUUUGUCACUUUAAAUAAAAACAAUUAACCUAUGAUUGAACAGGGUUGCUCCUUACUUUGUAGUAAUGUAUGAAAGCUAAAUGGCUAUGUAACCAAAAAAUCAAUAUACUUUAAAGAAAAAACACACACACAAGCACAAUAAACCAGAUACACAAAAUGGUGAAAGAAUGAACAAAAACCUAUAUGAUCUAAAGAAAAAAACAGACAGAAAAAGAUUAACACUAGAGAAGAAAUUGACUUAUUUCAUCAUUACAACUCAAUUUUUGAUCCAUAAAUUAAGCCUAGCUCAGUCUUAUCUUUUCUGUGGUAGAAAACUUUUAGAAUCUGGAACAGUAGCACUUGUUCAUGAGCAAAUAAAGGAGUGCUUUUGUCAUGCCUUAACAACUGUUUUGUUAACGGUCACUAUAUAUAAGAUACAUUCACUUCUUUUCUCUUUUCCCUCCUCACCACCCAAAACAGCUGCUCAGAUACUUCUUUCUCAGUUAGUUAACCCCCAAGAGAGGUAGGCUAUGGUCCAGGAAAUAGGCAACACUCCUGAAUUCCAGCAAUUGACUUUUCUAGCUACAGCACCUUGCAUGGUUAAUUCCUGAUUCCAUCUGGGAGUAGGAGUUGAAGGUGCUAGAACAGGAAGGAGAAAAAAGCAGCAGUGGAAUGGAAACACCACAAGAGAAGGACUUUUUUGUGGCAAGAUAUCUGGAUGCACCCCUUCUUUUGAAACUGGACAGACUCUUUUCUGGAUUGGACUGGAUCUGGUGGAACAUUUUACUUGCUUGCCCUCCAAAAAAGAGAUAAAUGGGCAUAUUUCUUGCAGCUGUGAGAACAUGCA